UCCAUGAUGGCCGAGGCAUUAGGCACCGAGCUUUUAACUCGACUACAGUUACGAUUCAACUUCAGGAUA
rnacentral:tRNA from 1 species